ACACUCCUGCGGGAGGCAGCAGUGGGGAAUAUUGGACAAUGGGCGCAAGCCUGAUCCAGCCAUGCCGCGUGAGUGAUGAAGGCCCUAGGGUUGUAAAGCUCUUUCACCGGUGAAGAUAAUGACGGUAACCGGAGAAGAAGCCCCGGCUAACUUCGUGCCAGCAGCCGCGGUAAUACGAAGGGGGCUAGCGUUGUUCGGAUUUACUGGGCGUAAAGCGCACGUAGGCGGACUAUUAAGUCAGGGGUGAAAUCCCGGGGCUCAACCCCGGAACUGCCUUUGAUACUGGUAGUCUUGAGUUCGAGAGAGGUGAGUGGAAUUCCGAGUGUAGAGGUGAAAUUCGUAGAUAUUCGGAGGAACACCAGUGGCGAAGGCGGCUCACUGGCUCGAUACUGACGCUGAGGUGCGAAAGCGUGGGGAGCAAACAGGAUUAGAUACCCCUGUAGGCCCA
rnacentral:rRNA from 1 species